rnacentral:tRNA from 1 species
GGGGGUGUAGCUCAGUGGUAGAGCACUUGCCUGGCAUGGGUAAGAUCCUGGGUUCCAUUCCUACCACCACAA